rnacentral:lncRNA from 1 species
UUUUUUUUUUUUUCAUAAAUUAUAAGCUUUUUGUAGCAUAUGAAAAAUACCUACAGAUUUGCAAAAUAUACAAGAGUUUAGAAAGGUUGAUGGCUUUAUUCUAUUUUUUUAAAUUAUUUUUUAAUGUACAAUUCUGAGUUUAGGGCAGCAGGUCUGUAAGCUGCUCCCAAAUGGGAGAUGUCUAUGCAGCUGUAAUGGUAGUGCUUUAACAAGUUGGGUUUUUAUGUGGGAAUCUGGUGUAUGUGAAAUCUGGCAAAUACAGGAGGUGUCCUUUAUCUGUGCACUUUUAUAUAUGCAAAAACCAUUAAUUGCUGCAGUUAUCUACAGUGUGUGGAGUGUCCAUUUUUUGUACAGGGGACGAAGAAAAAGUGUUUGGGGUAUGAACGUUCUCUGUGAAGUGUAGGAAACAAUGUUUAUGUGAUUUAAAGGGAAGGAGCAAAAUUUAGCAGUCUCUGGCCCUCUGACAGACACAGGUGAUGGCUGAACUCAAUCAAUGGGCUGUAUUUUCAGUGAUGGGCAUAGCUCUCAUACUGGGUUCUGGUUUAAGAGUCUCUGAAAUGAUAAACCUGUUAGAAAGGCACAGGGCCAAAAACAGCACUGGCUAACAGACUGAACUAUAUACAUAAUUUAUGAAAACAUAACAACUUUUUAAAACAAAGUAGUAAAACCUCUGGGAAGUAAUUUAUUAGCCACGUAACGUUUUGUAGAGAUUUCUUUUAAAAUUUUAAUAGUUUUUGUAGCAAGUUUAUUUCUGUGUGGUAGAAAGGCUCCAUGAAUGGGCAGCAAACUGAUAUAGUUUUAAAUUCUAUUCGCCUGUUUGGCACAAGAGACAUAUAAGUAUUUUCUAGGCAAAUUCAUGCAUGCAUUAAAGUGGGAAUAUGUUCAAAGAUAUGUGGAAAGUUACAUUAUCGUGCAAUGCAUUCCUUGGAUGAUGCAUCAAAUUUACCUAUUGGUAUUAUAAGCACACCUGUUCUGAAACGGAACACUUUUAAUGCCGAGCCUUAUCACUCAGCAAAUAAAUUAUUUUGACCAAAAAGUCAUGUUUUUUAUCAGUCAAUCAAUGAAUCUCAUGUUUGCAUGUCCUGAUAAUACAGUUCCAACUUUGCUUCAUAGUCUUCCAGCAGGACACAGGAAUUAUCCAGAAUUGAUGUUUUUUCAUAACAGAUAGUAGCAGGAAAAUACCAUGUUAGAUUUCUUUGUCAUUGAGAAAAACUAUUAAAAAGGUCAUAACACGUGCUGUUUCUCUAGCAGGUUCAUCUGUGUUUUCAGCUCAAUUGAGGCCUACCUUUCCUUCCUACAUAAGAAAGUCAGGCGUGUCAGAACUGCAAGACUAACUCUUCCACAUACACAGCCAAGCAGCAUUACUUUAUCUGAUCUCUGAAAAACAGCAAAAAAAGAAAAAAAAAAAAAAAAG